AUCUAGUUGACGAGUCCCACAUAGGACGAAAUGCUCACCUUGGAU
rnacentral:hammerhead_ribozyme from 1 species